rnacentral:rRNA from 1 species
CCUACGGGGGGCUGCAGUUUCGAAUCAUUCACAAUGGGCGAAAGCCUGAUGGUGCGACGCCGCGUGAGGGAUGAAGGCCUUCGGGUUGUAAACCUCUGUCACCGGGGAAGAAACGCUAUACGUGAACAUCGUGUAGCCUGACUUAACCCGGAGAGGAAGCAGUGGCUAACUCUGUGCCAGCAGCCGCGGUAAUACAGAGACUGCAAGCGUUAUUCGGAUUCACUGGGCGUAAAGGGUGCGCAGGCGGUUUUGUGUGUCAGGUGUGAAAGCCCGGA